rnacentral:rRNA from 1 species
UACGAAGGGGGCUAGCGUUGCUCGGAAUCACUGGGCGUAAAGGGUGCGUAGGCGGGUCUUUAAGUCAGGGGUGAAAUCCUGGAGCUCAACUCCAGAACUGCCUUUUGAUACUGAAGAUCUUGAGUUCGGGAGAGGUGAGUGGAAUUCCCAGUGUAGAGGUGAAAUUCGUAGAUAUUGGGGAAGAACACCGGUGGCGAAGGCGGCUCACUGGCUCGUAUCUGACGCUCAGGCGCGACAGCGUGGGGGAUCAAAACAGG